UACGUAGGGUGCAAGCGUUAAUCGGAAUUACUGGGCGUAAAGCGUGCGCAGGCGGUUUGUAAGACUGUCGUGAAAUCCCGGGCUUAACCUGGGAAUUGCGAUGGUGACUGCAAGGCUAGAGGUUUGGCAGAGGGGGUAGAAUUCCACGUGUAGCAGUGAAAUGCGUAGAUAUCCGGAGGAACACCGGUGGCGAAGGCGGCUCCUGGACCGAUUCUGGAGCUGAGGCGCGAAAGCUAGGGGAGCAAACGGG
rnacentral:rRNA from 1 species